CCCAGACCUCAUUUAAGGGCUGGCAGUGGAGGCAGGAGUGUUUUGCUGGAGAUUCCUGUAUACCUGAGGCCUUCCAAAGAUAGCACAGCCUGCUCUGGCCAGGCAAGAAAACGCCGCCGUAGCUCGGGGUACAGCUGUGGACUACCCGGCUUACAGAAAGCCCGGAGCUGCUGUAUCCCUGCCCUACAGAUCUCCAUCCCAGUUGCUCGUUCCAGCUCACUCUCAGCAGUGCCUCAGCGCUCCCGCCCGCAUGGCCGCACCGGGAGGCAGCAGCAGCACCUAGCGGUACCAGCGGCACCGAGCGGCACCAGCAUUCCCUGCAGCCGGGAAACAGUUCCACACUCACUGCUUUCCUCGGGAGAUCCCACCAUUUUUCUGUCUUUUUUCGAAGCAUCUGAACGGCAUCGCUUUGCAUCGCGAGCCUUUUGCUCAAGGGAGCUGAGUAGUUCCCUUGUUUGGCCAGAGAUUUCAGGGAGGCCCCCCUGUGUGUUGGUGUUAUGCUAUUUGGACGCAAGCGGCCCCAGCAAUCGCUGCAGCAUUUUGAUUCAGGACUCUGAGCAAUGCGUGACUGUGGAGCUGUGGUUCAGCGUGCUGCUCUAUCCCUGAGGCCUGCGUAACCAAACUGCCUUCUCUACAGCACAGCUGAGAAACAAAGCCAGUAGUGCCCCACCACAGCAGCACAGAUCUGUGCUGUGUCCUGCUCCCAACAUCCAGCCUGCCUGACAUCAACAUUUAACAUGUAAGUUAUUAAACUGAAAGCUAUCACCCUGAUUAUUGGGGGAAACAGAGGAACUUGGAAGUUAUUUACCAUUCACCUGGUGGUUAAUACAGUGCCCCAAGAAGAUGCUGUGACAACAAAUCAGGGGCUUUCUGUAGGUCUCCAGGAAAGAUGGGGAUGCAAAAAAAGAGUGGCAAAUGAGCCACUGCUGUGCAUGGGGCAGUUUGCUCUGCAGUUCUGCCUGACUCAAGGCUUAUCCCAGAGUGGGAGUUCUGAACAGAACACACGGCCACAUCGUGUUUUGUUUGUUCUCAUUGCCUGUCCCCAACUUUCCAGCGUCAGUUUUAAAGUGGAAAUCAGAUCACAAACGCUAUACAUACAAAUGAUGUAUUGACUAUUUCAGGUGAGCUGUGCCAAAAAGGGGCUACUGCGUGAAACAAUAUAGUGAUACAGUUGCCUGAUUAAGGGAGAACUGAGAAAUUAA